UUUUCCGGUUGAUCCUGCCGGAGGCUACCGCUAUUGGAAUCCGAUUAAGCCAUGCGAGUCGAGAGACUUCGGGUCUCGGCAGACGUCUCAGUAACACGUGGAUAAUCUGCCCUUGAGUGGGGGAUAAGCUUGGAAAACUGAGUAUAAUACCCCAUAGGUCUAGGAUGCUGGAAUGCUUUUAGGCUGAAAGUUGCGGCGCUCAAGGAUGAAUCUGCGGCCUAUCAGGCUGUAGUGGGUGUAACGGACCCACUAACCUUCGACGGGUACGGGCCUUGAGAGAGGUUGCCCGGAGUCGGACUCUUAGACACGAGUCCAGGCCCUACGGGGUGCAGCAGGCGCGAAAACUUCACAAUGUGGGAAACCGCGAUGAGGGGAUUCCAAGUGCUAACACACUGUGUUGGCUGUUCAUCUGCCUAAAAAGCUGGUGAAGUAAGGGCCGGGUAAGACGGGUGCCAUCUGCGAGCGUCCAGCGAGAAGAUUGAACGCUGGGCACAGCAGCGCACAAGCCGCCGCGGUAAUACCCGCGGCCCGAGUGGUGGCCGUUAUUAUUGAGCCUAAAGCGUCCGUAGCCGGUCUAGUAAAUUUCUGGGUAAAUCGGGCAGCUUAACUGUCCGAAUUCCGGAAAGACUGCUAGACUUGGGACCGGGGGAGGUUGGAGGUACUCCUGGGGUAGGGGUGAAAUCCUGUAAUCCUGGGGGGACCACCAGUGGCGAAGGCGUCCAACCAAAACGGCUCCGACGGUAAGGGACGAAGCCCUGGGGCGCAAACGGGAUUAGAUACCCCGGUAGUCCAGGGUGUAAACGCUGCAGGCUUGGUGUUGGGGGUCCUACGAGGGCGCCCAGUGCCGGAGUGAAGAUGUCAAGCCUGCCGCUUGGGGAGUACGUCCGCAAGGAUGAAACUUAAAGGAAUUGGCGGGGGAGCACAGCAACGGGUGGAGCGUGCGGUUCAAUUGGAUUCAACGCCGGGAAUCACUAGU
rnacentral:rRNA from 1 species